rnacentral:lncRNA from 1 species
GGUUGAUACAAAGCUCUAAAAUUAAAUACUCAGGUACCAAAAGUUAUGAGUCUAACAUACUUCAUAUUAGAUAAAUUGCAUAUUUAAAGAAAUUUUCUGUCAUAACCUUGAAAAAACCCAUGGAAGGAGCCUCAAGCUAAGUUCAGAUAGACGAGAGACCAUCACAAUAAUUCCCAUCUUACACACUUCCCCAGGAAAUAGCUGGCUUAUUCAGGUUCUGUCACAUAGAGUAGAAAGUACUUCAUUUUUAAAAGGAAGAAACAGGUAUAAAAUGAGAGAACUACUUAUAAGUCUCACCAGUCUUAAAAGAAAAGUACUAUUUUAGAAUAAUGUUUUUUUUUUUAUGCAGGAGGCUGGGUGCCCUCAUUUUUUGCUUUCAUUUAUUCAAUAAGUACUCAGGAAGUACCUUCUCUGCUCAUAGCACUGAGUAUUCCAGACCACAGGCAUGUCCCUGUCCUCAAGAUGUUCAGAGAGUCACGCACGUGUUUGGAGAAAGUUACAGUAAGUGGUACCACAGUCACACUGGCCUGCAUUAUGCCCACUGACUACUCUGCCAUCUGUGAUACCCUGGCUGCAGAGACUCAACCAAAACAUAGCCUCGAGCAGUCUCUCCACCUUGACCCCUCCGUGUGGAGUCUGUGACCCUGCGGAUAACAAAGGCCCCUUAGCAAACAAGCUGAAAAGUUUCUCUCAACCCUUCCCAGAGCAUUGUUCUUAUUUCCUCAUCCCCUUCACCCAAAAUAACUCUACUAGCUCCCGUGUCAGCCAGGGCUGAGAGAGCGUCUGCAAGCUGUCCAAAGGCCUGAGAACUUUGACUUCUACAGGAUAUCUUUGCCACAGUCCCCAGGAAGCUACAGUGAAUCAACUGAACCUUGCAUUCUCCAAGCUGAGACAGAGUAGUCGCUGGCAUUCCCCGAAUCCUAAGGCAGUGAAACAGUGACAAGAAAAAGCUCAGUGUGAAAGCCUGUUGCAAGUUGGCACCACAGCCAGUUACAGAGAAAAGCACUGCUGAGGAUGAUUGCAAUGAGGUGUGACCCAUUUACCCACAAGACUCUGAUAUGCAGGCAUUUGCCUAACAGACCUGCCACCAAUAGUGAAGAAUAAAUACAUGAAUUGAAAGAGUGUAGUUCCUCUG